AACGCACCUUGCGCUCUUUGGUAUUCCGAAGAGCAUGCCUGUUUGAGUGUCAUGAAAAUAUCAACCUUGACUUGGGUUUUGUGCUCUAGUCUUGGCUUGGAAUUGGGUGCUUGCCGCUUUUACGAGCGGCUCACCUUAAAUGUAUUAGCUGGAUCUGUCUUUGAGACUUGGUUUGACUUGGCGUAAUAAGUAUUUCGCUAAGGACACUCUUCGGAGUGGCCUCGUUUCUAGGACGCUUGUCCGCUUCCCAAUACAAGUUCCACCUCGUGGACAUGACUUUUUAUUAUCUGGCCUCAAAUCAGGUAGGACUACCCGCUGAACUUAA
rnacentral:misc_RNA from 1 species